GACGAACGCUGGCGGCGUGCCUAAUACAUGCAAGUCGAACGCAGUGGGGACGGGGGAGUAACACGUGGGUAACCUCCCAUCAGAGGGGAUAACACUUGGAAACAGGUGCUAAACCGACACUGAUGGAUGGACCCGCGGUGCAUUAGCUAGUUGGUGAGGUAACGGCUCACCAAGGCCACGAUGCAUAGCCGGUCUGAGAGGGUGAUCGGACAAACUGGGACUGAGACACGGCCAAGACUCCUACGGGAGGAAGAAGUAGGGAAUCUUUGGCAAUGGGCGAAAGUCUGACCGAGCAACGCCGCGUGAGUGAAGAAGGUUUUCGGAUCGUAAAGCUCUUUUGUUAGAGAAGCGGUAUCUAACCAGAAAGCCACGGCUAACUACGUGCCAGCAGCCGCGGUAAUAC
rnacentral:rRNA from 1 species